GUAAAAUAAAUAAACGCAACUAAAGAGUAAAAACAGGGAAACUACUAUAUAAAAAAGUAAAAAUAAAAUGAUUGGCAGGAACAAAAUAAUGCACACAUGUCGCACCACACAUCGUUACAUACAUAUAUAGACUGGCGGUUGUUAUUGUUAUUGACGUUUAUUUACCGCCAUUUGAUAAGAAGUUGAAAGCAUUUCGCAUUGCAGGCGCAUAGAUAACAGGCACAUGGGUGUGUGUGUGAAUGUAUAUAGCACAAGCACACACCGGCUGGCUGACUGGAGGACUGACUAGCUGACGGUGAGGCUAGCUGAUUAGCUGGCGAAGCGGCGCGCAGGCAGACAAACUGGCUCGGCAAUGGCACUAUAAAAUAWUGCAUAAAGAUAAUUACAUAGCUAUAUCUACAUAUAUAUAUACACAUAUAUUUGUAGGUGUAUACAUGCCAUCGUGUGCUUGCAAAUAUAACUCUGUCUUUGGUCAUCAAGCAAACGUAUGCAAUAAAAGUGAUAGAUGAGCUGGCCAAAUGUACAUAUAUACAGUAUGCCAAUGCAACAAA